rnacentral:rRNA from 1 species
GAUGAACGCUGGCGGCGUGCCUAAUACAUGCCAGUCGAGCGAACGGACGAGAAGCUUGCUUUUCUGAUGUUAGCGGCGGACGGGUGAGUAACACGUGGAUAACCUACCUAUAAGACUGGGAUAACUUCGGGAAACCGGAGCUAAUACCGGAUAAUACUUUGAACCGCAUGGUUCAAAAGUGAAAGACGGUCUUGCUGUCACUUAUAGAUGGAUCCGCGCUGCAUUAGCUAGUUGGUAAGGUAACGGCUUACCAAGGCAACGAUGCAUAGCCGACCUGAGAGGGUGAUCGGCCACACUGGAACUGAGACACGGUCCAGACUCCUACGGGAGGCAGCAGUAGGGAAUCUUCCGCAAUGGGCGAAAGCCUGACGGAGCAACGCCGCGUGAGUGAUGAAGGUCUUCGGAUCGUAAAACUCUGUUAUUAGGGAAGAACAUAUGUGUAAGUAACUGUGCACAUCCUGACGGUACCUAAUCAGAAAGCCACGGCUAACUACGUG